GGGGGUGUUAUUGGAUUCGAUUUUGUAAUGUAUAAUUAAAGUGGCAGGCCGAAGAUGAUGGUUGGCUUCGUUAUCAAUCCAUUUACAAAUAAAUGAAAACAAUGUAGUAAAAUUCCCAAGCGCCUCCUUGGCGAUGGCUGCUUAGGAUAUCGUAUGAAUUGCCUAUAGAUGCAAUUCUGCUUUUAAAAUGGAUGCUCGCUUAAUUUUAAAAGCUCACUCAGCGAGUAUAAUUGGAAAGUGUGGUAAUUUCCAAUCGUAUUUUCUAUCACUUACACAUUAAAAACGUGUGCAUACGGGUUUAAUGUGGACAACCCAAAAUGUACUAAGCUUGUAGAAGCUUUAAUUAAAUGUGCAGAAGACGCGGGUUCAAAUCCCGCCACCUCCACCA
rnacentral:tmRNA from 1 species